GGAUAAGGAUAUUGUUGCAUUCGAAUCAAUGGAUCUUCAGGGCAGGACGUGUCUCAUGGCAAAGUAAUUGGGUCUGAUAGGUUCCGGAGGUGAAGCAGCGUGGGAGCCCACAGAGGAAACACCUGAAGGAGACAAGCGCCGAGACUCCUGCUGCCUCUGCUA